UACGUAGGGACCGAGCGUUGUCCGGAAUCAUUGGGCGUAAAGAGCGUGUAGGCGGCCCGAUAAGUCCGCCGUGAAAGCCCAGGACUCAACCCUGGGAUGCCGGUGGAUACUGUCGGGCUAGAAUCCGGAAGAGGCGAGUGGAAUUCCUGGUGUAGCGGUGAAAUGCGCAGAUAUCAGGAGGAACACCGAUGGCGAAGGCAGCUCGCUGGGACGGUAUUGACGCUGAGACGCGAAAGCGUGGGGAGCAAACAGG
rnacentral:rRNA from 1 species